AUGGUGUGGGUGUGGAGGCUCCUUUUGCUGUUGGCAGGUGCUGUAGGUGCCCACUCCCAGAUACAGCUGGUGCAAUCUGGGGCUGAGGUGAAGAAGCCAGGAGCGUUGGUGAAGGUCUCCUGCAGAGCCUCCGGAUACACCUUUACCAGCUAUGGUAUGCAUUGGGUGCGGCAGGCACCGGACCAGGCCUUACAGUGGAUGGGCUGGAUCAACACCAACACUGGGAAGCCAGCAUAUGCCCAGGGCUUCACGGAAAGAUAUGUCUUCUCCCUGGAUGCUUCAGUCAGCACAGCUUAUCUACAGAUCAACAACCUGAAGUCUAAAGACACUGCCACCUACUACUGUGCUAGAGACACAGUGUGCAAACCACAUUCUGAGAGUGUCAGAAACCUUGAGAAGAAGGAAACUGGUGGGCUAAGGGAAUGA